AUGAUGCUGCAAAAUCCAAGUCAAAAAGUGUUGCAUCAUCUUCACUUGGGCCCAUGGGCCUUGUAUGGUCUAGGGUUAGGUUUUGGCUGCCUUGGGACGUGCACCACUCACAAGAGAUGCUCUUAG
rnacentral:rRNA from 1 species